rnacentral:lncRNA from 1 species
GAUACGAAAACAAAACAGUACCAAUUCCUCAUUUUAAACUGGAGUUUGAAACUGUUAACAUACCAAGCAAAAAUGAUAGCUCAAAUCAGGUUUUACAAAGAAGUCCAAUAGACUAUGAUUCCAAUGGUAUCUUUCUUUCUAGAUUUUAGAAAGUCACAGCCAACUUCUCCAGUUUUGUUGCCACAGACCCAAGACUCAAUCAAAAGGUGCGUGCGAACGUGCCUCUCAGGGUGUGGCAGGGAACCCCCUGCCCACCGAGCACACAUAUGCAGAAAUAUUUUGCCCAAAUCUAUUCUGCAACAUAUACUUAAAGAGGUCCCAGAUCUACUUUUCUCUCUCCCCACAAAGUAUGUGAGGUCCAUUUAUCCUACUAUUCGAUCAAAAGGCUCACGUGAAAAAGGUCACAGCGACGCUCAGGCGACCCACGCAGGCCCCGGCAGACGCUCUAGCAGAAGGGACGCGGCACAGGCAGGGCUGUGGGUGCACCCUGGCUAACCUCACGGCGCAAGCACCCGAGGCUCUACAGAUUCCAUUGCCAGAGUUAGUGGAAAACUCCAUCCUAGCACCGGGAUGCUCUGCGUUGCUAGAUGUACCUGCUUUAAGAGAUGCAUGAACUGUCCUUACUCUACACACGAGACUCACUAGGAGACACUUGCAGAUUUCGCCUAAGCGCACGAUGUUUAAUCGGCAAAUAGACAUUGCAGCAAAAGCAUUUCUCUAAGAUUCUCUACCUCUUUUCACUGGGGGAGGGGAGGGGGAAGCGGGGAGGGGGGGAACGUAACUUGCCUCCAAGGGUUGGAGACAAAGCGGUUACUGCGGACAUGAGCGCGGCCCACCCCGGGAACUGCUGCGCCACGAGGCACGGCCGUGCACCCUGGACGCAGGAGUAGCACAAGACGCUAGCACAGGCUGACGCCAGCCCUCUCCAGGAGAAGGCAUAUCGUUUCUCCCCCCCCAGCCUCCAGGCUCCCUCCAGGCCUCAGCGGCUGCUGACAGGGCAGAGGCCACAACUAGAGGCGGCUCUCAACUCCACCAGGGACGGGAGCCCCGGACGCUGGGGACUCCGCUGCUGCCCUUCCGCGCCCACCUGUCCCUCUGCUCCGCCCUUCUCACAGGAGCCAGGCGUGGCCACUUGGAACCUCUGCCCUUCUGUGGCUCCCACGAAAACUAGUCCAGUCAGCCCAGGCUGCCUCGCACCCCAGGGAUGCCCGGCACAGGCCACAUGUCCUCAUCCAAAGCUCCUGGGGCAAGAAGGCUCUUGCAGUAUUUCCCUUUCUCACUGAGCAUCCCCAGCCUGAAAUCCAAAGUGCUCCGGAGAGCAUUUCUUUCGAGAGUGUCACGAGGGAGAGCUCGGAAUGUUUCAGGUUUCAGAGCAUUAUAGAGUAGGGACGCUCCGCCCCCCGCCGAUGUCCGCCCCACACAAUCCCAGCACACCCUCUGAAGUCCUCAGCAACAACAGAUUUUCUUUCUUCAAAACUAUCCCCAAGUCACAGAA